UCCCUGGUGGCCUAGUGGUUAAAGAUCCAGCAUUGUCACUGCUGUGACAGAGGUUUAAUCCCUAGCCUGGGAA
rnacentral:tRNA from 1 species